rfam:Candidatus Kerfeldbacteria bacterium RIFCSPHIGHO2_02_FTLL_42_14 rifcsphigho2_02_scaffold_284, whole genome shotgun sequence.
GCCGUCGUGGCGGAAUUGGUAGACGCGCGGGUCUCAAAAACCCGUGAAGGCAACUUCGUGUCGGUUCGACUCCGACCGACGGCA